ACCUGGUAGGCUCAGUGGGUAGAGCAUGUGAUUCCUGAUCUCAGAGUCGUGGGUUCAAGCCCCAUGUUGGGUG
rnacentral:tRNA from 1 species